GCGGACGGGUGAGUAACACGUGGGUAACCUGCCUGUAAGACUGGGAUAACUCCGGGAAACCGGGGCUAAUACCGGAUGCUUGAUUGAACCGCAUGGUUCAAUCAUAAAAGGUGGCUUUUAGCUACCACUUACAGAUGGACCCGCGGCGCAUUAGCUAGUUGGGGAGGUAACGGCUCACCAAGGCGACGAUGCGUAGCCGACCUGAAAGGGGGAUCGGCCACCCUGGGACUGAAACACGGCCCAAACUCCUACGGGAGGCAGCAGUAGGGAAUCUUCCGCAAUGGACGAAAGUCUGACGGAGCAACGCCCCGUGAGUGAUGAAGGUUUUCGGAUCGUAAAACUCUGUUGUUAGGGAAGAACAAGUACCGUUCGAAUAGGGCGGUACCUUGACGGUACCUAACCAGAAAGC
rnacentral:rRNA from 1 species